UGUGUGUGUGUGUUGUGUGUGUGUGUGUGCGUGCGUGCACGCACACACACACACACACACACACACAAU